rnacentral:rRNA from 1 species
UACGUAGGGUGCAAGCGUUACUCGGAAUUACUGGGCGUAAAGCGUGCGCAGGCGGCUUUGCAAGACAGAUGUGAAAUCCCCGGGCUCAACCUGGGAACUGCAUUUGUGACUGCAUCGCUGGAGUGCGGCAGAGGGGGAUGGAAUUCCGCGUGUAGCAGUGAAAUCCGUAGAUAUUGGGAGGAACACCGAUGGCGUAGGCAGAUAACUGGCUCGUUCCUGACACUAAGGCACGAAAGCGUGGGGAGCAAACGGG